UACGAAGGGGGCUAGCGUUGCUCGGAAUCACUGGGCGUAAAGGGUGCGUAGGCGGGUUCUUAAGUCAGAGGUGAAAUCCUGGAGCUCAACUCCAGAACUGCCUUUGAUACUGAGAGUCUUGAGUUCGGGAGAGGUGAGUGGAACUGCGAGUGUAGAGGUGAAAUUCGUAGAUAUUCGCAAGAACACCAGUGGCGAAGGCGGCUCACUGGCCCGGUACUGACGCUGAGGUGCGAAAGCGUGGGGAGCAAACAGG
rnacentral:rRNA from 1 species